rnacentral:rRNA from 1 species
UACGUAGGGUGCGAGCGUUGUCCGGAAUUAUUGGGCGUAAAGGGCUCGUAGGCGGUCCAUCGCGUCGGGAGUGAAAAGCUGGGGCUUAACCCCAGUCCUGCUUUCGAUACGGGUGGACUAGAGGUAGGCAGGGGAGAAUGGAAUUCCUGGUGUAGCGGUGAAAUGCGCAGAUAUCAGGAGGAACACCAAUUGCGAAGGCAGCUCGCUGGGACGUUACUGACGCUGAGACGCGAAAGCGUGGGGAGCGAACAGG